GGAUAUGUCCUACUGCAACAUUCAUUCAUUCUCUAGAUGCUGAAAAAAAAAGGAUGCCUUAUUCAAUGGUGCAAACGAAAAGGACAACAACUCAAUCCUUAUCAAUCCAAAGCAUCUUUCACGUGAUGACAAGCUCAUCAUUCAUCUCCAUUUUAUCAUGAAUUUAUGUGUUUGUGACUCAUCGCUAUCUCUUCCUCAUUGAUCACGUCAGUUGCUGUGCCAGCUUAGAGCGUUAAAAAUAAAUAGAUUUACUCAAGAGAAAAAGAUAUUUAUGUCUUCCUUUAUGGUUGGAGAAGAAGAGAUCUAAAGCUAAUUGUACUGCUUUUACGGAAGCAGAAAUCAUAACUUGAGCUGUUUGAGCAAAAGUACGACUGUGCCUUCUAGCUAGUUUUCUUCUUUGACUUAAUUUUAUUAGACAUGACCAAAUUAUGAAAAAUGUAUCUGCAUUCCACAUCUAUGUUGACUAGUUGUUCUAAUAUAUCAACAUGUUGCUAUACUUUUUAA